AGGAUACUGACUGCUUAUUGCACCACAUGUGUUUUUCUUUGAAACAAACUUGCUUUGGCGGUGGGCCCAGCCUGCCGCCAGAGGUCUAAACUUACAACCAAUUUUUUAUUAACUUGUCACACCAGAUUAUUACUAAAUAGUCAAAACUUUCAACAACGGAUCUCUUGGUUCUCGCAUCGAUGAAGAACGCAGCGAAAUGCGAUACGUAAUAUGAAUUGCAGAUAUUCGUGAAUCAUCGAAUCUUUGAACGCACAUUGCGCCCUCUGGUAUUCCGGAGGGCAUGCCUGUUUGAGCGUCGUUUCUCCCUCAAACCGCUGGGUUUGGUGUUGAGCAAUACGACUUGGGUUUGCUUGAAAGACGGUAGUGGUAAGGCGGGAUCGCUUUGACAAUGGCUUAGGUCUAACCAAAAACAUUGCUUGCGGCGGUAACGUCUACCACGUAUAUCUUCAAACUUUGACCUCAAAUCAGGUAGGACUACCCGCUGAACUUAAGCAUAUCAAAA
rnacentral:rRNA from 1 species